GACGAACGCUGGCGGCGUGCCUAAUACAUGCAAGUCGAGCGCAGGAAACUGACGGAACUCUUCGGAGGGAAGGCAGUGGAAUGAGCGGCGGACGGGUGAGUAACACGUAAGGAACCUGCCUCAAGGAUUGGGAUAACUCCGAGAAAUCGGAGCUAAUACCGGAUAGUUCAACGGACCGCAUGGCCCGCUGAUGAAAGGCGCUUCGGCGUCACCUUGAGCUGGCCUUGCGGUGCAUUAGCUGGUUGGUGGGGUAACGGCCCACCAAGGCGACGAUGCAUAGCCGACCUGAGAGGGUGAUCGGCCACACUGGGACUGAGACACGGCCCAGACUCCUACGGGAGGCAGCAGUAGGGAAUCUUCCACAAUGGACGAAAGUCUGAUGGAGCAACGCCGCGUGAGUGAUGAAGGUUUUCGGAUCGUAAAACUCUGUUGUAAGGGAAGAACACGUACGAGAGGGAAUGCUCGUACCUUGACGGUACCUUACGAGAAAGCCACGGCUAACUACGUGCCAGCCGCCGCGGUAA
rnacentral:rRNA from 1 species